GACGAACGCUGGCGGCGUGCCUAAUACAUGCAAGUCGAACGCAGUGGGGACGGGUGAGUAACACGUUGGUAACCUCCCAUCAGAGGGGAUAACACUUGGAAACAGGUGCUAAACCGAUACGGCUGGAUGAACCCGCGGUGCAUUGGCUGUUUGGUGAGGUAACGGCUCACCAAGGCCACGAUGCAUAGCCGAACUGAGAGGGGGAUGGGGAACGCUGGGACUGAGACACGACCCAGACUCCUAGAGUGGGCAGCAGUAGGGAAGCUUCGGGCAUGGACGAAAGUCUGACCGAGGAACGCAGCGAGGGUGAAGAAGGUAUUCGGAUCGUAAGACUCUAUUGUUAGGGAAGCGGUAUCUAACCAGAAAGCCACGGCUAACUCCGUGCCAGCAGCCGCGGUAAUUC
rnacentral:rRNA from 1 species